UGCACGCCUUCAUGCAGGAGCGGUGUGUCCCGGGAGUUUCCCUGACUCCUGUUCUUAGAGGGACAGAGCGACCUCAGGACCUUCUCAAAAGAAGAAGGGAUGUGGCAGACCUGGGGGCACCUCAUUAAAUGAAAUUCUGGGGAGCAUUGGCAGUAGGAUGCAGAGGGAGGAUGGCUGGACAUUUCUCUACGGGGGAACGAACACAGCUCCUUGCCUUCCCUCGAGAUCCUGACUGGAGUCCAAGCUCCUUAGUAAUGCACGAGAUAGGCUGCCUAUUAAGAUCAAACAAAGGACAUAAGCUUCCACACAGCUCAUUUGGUGGAAUUUACACAUAGCUGUAAAUGAAUUAAAUUGUUAGAUACUGGAGUGAAGUGGUUGAACCAGAUGCUCAAAGAACCUGAAUCGGCGCUUGUUUGGAAGAGGAUGCACUGCAGAAAUCCUCCUGUAAGUCACAGUAUCCACUUUG
rnacentral:lncRNA from 1 species